ACAUGCACAGAUCACCUCCACAAGCUUCACUCCGACACAAAGGCAGCAACAGCACAUAACGUGUCACAGCCGCUGGUGGUGAAAGGCAGAGCGAUUUAUCCUGGAGCCAGACGACUUCUGAACAUAGCCAUCAAUCUCGACACACUGUCAUUGGAAAAAAAAGGACAGUAAAGGAUAAGGACGAUAAAUCCACCGAAUGGACACCUGCCAUUAAACAGCUUACGACACCUUCUGACUCUGUCUGCGCCAGCACCAGAUUGACAGACUCCAGUCCUCCAGGAGGUUGCCCUGCCGAGAUGACAGAGAACGGAGAGACUGAUGAGGUGCGGGCAGAGGAAGGAGUGGAGUUUGAGAAUGAAGAGGCCAUCUUGAUGCACUUCCAGCGCUACACCGAGUCCCGGGCUGCCCUGCCCUGGAGUGAGCGCACUCGGCAUGAGAAAGUGACCUACUACCUAGACCGCAUCUUUCUCGUUUUCAUUUGCAUAGUUGUGAUGAUAUUUAUGGCAGAGGCUAUCUAUAAGAUGUGGUAUGUGACCAAUGUGAAAGCGAUUUACAAGUUUGUGGCGGACAUUGUGACAUACUUUCUCACACAAGAGGAGGAUGAAGAAUUAAUUGAACUAUAAUAUGUAUGAUGAUUAGAAGCAGGUAGAAGCAACUGUACUCCACAUUCAUUGUCAAUGUAUUUAAUUCAAUGUAUAACUCACUGUUAAUUAAAAUAUCUUUCAAAAUCCAGGAGAAAUCAA